rnacentral:SRP_RNA from 1 species
GCCGAGUUGGGUAACGCCAGCUUGUGACUCAGGUGAGGGCAAUAUGGUGGUGGGAUAGAACUAUGGCCUCAUUUGGUUGAGCUUUGAUUGCGAAAUGCAGGCCUACCCACUCCAAGUUGAGAGUUGAACCAUGGGACCUAAGCGAAGGCUUGGGUUUCUUGGUUCCUAAAGUGGAGGGCACAGCGUGAGGCUGGAUUCACAGAGUAGAUUAAUGAGCCUGGUUUUCUUAGACCAUCACUUUUUUUUUAAUUUUUUAUGAACUCAUCACAGUGGUCUUCAAUUCAUAAGGUUAGUUGUCGUG